ACGGGAGGCAGCAGUGGGGAAUAUUGCACAAUGGGCGCAAGCCUGAUGCAGCAACGCCGCGUGAGGGAAGACGGUUUUCGGAUUGUAAACCUCUGUUCUUAGUGACGAAGAAGUGACGGUAGCUAAGGAGCAAGCCACGGCUAACUACGUGCCAGCAGCCGCGGUAAUACGUAGGUGGCAAGCGUUAUCCGGAAUUACUGGGUGUAAAGGGAGCGCAGGCGGGAUAGCAAGUCAGCGGUGAAAUGUAUGGGCUUAACCCAUGAACUGCCGUUGAAACUGUUAUUCUUGAGUGGGGUAGAGGCAGGCGGAAUUCCGAGUGUAGCGGUGAAAUGCGUAGAUAUUCGGAGGAACACCAGUGGCGAAGGCGGCCUGCUGGGCUCUAACUGACGCUGAGGCUCGAAAGUGUGGGGAGCAAACAGGAUUAGAUACCCUGGUA
rnacentral:rRNA from 1 species